GGAUAGAUUUCUUCUUCUGAGUAUAUACAAUCCCCACGGUAGUUAAUUACAAGUAGUAACCUCCAAGAGCCUGAUGGGUACGCUGUGGCACUAUGUGUUAUGCCUGCGCCGCCAAGGAGGACCAUUACUGCCCACAGCACAGGGAUGAUCUGGAGUACACAAAUGGAUGCCAGAACUGAGAAUUGAAUGCUCCCUGCCGAUGUGAGACCAGGACACCUUGUGACCAUGGGACAGCCACUGUCAACCCCACCAGGGAAAACAUCAGCACAGAAAAUAAGGAGAUGUCACACUCAGUGUGGGGAGUGGGCGUUCUUCUGUGAGCUCCCCACCACCACAUGAACUGACUGCAAAGGAGAAGGAAUUCAAGGACAGAAAGGUUCCUCCCCAGGAAUCGCACAUCUGCUGGGUUAAGUCUGAAUUUUGAUAUCUACAUCUUCAGACACAUUGACCUGUGGUCUCAGCUGUGACAGAAAACGGAGACCUGGUGACAUGCUGCUGAAGUCUCCAAUAACACAUCAUGCCUGCAGUACCUGCUGAAAACCCACCGAAAGGCAGCAGGAAGAGUGGGGGGGAAUUCAGCCUCAUCCCAGUCUCAGCUGUGAAACAAGCAGGGUGCUCACACGUGUGUGCUUUGCUCCCAUCCGCAAUGAGAAGACAACCCUGCCUGUCCCAGCACACAGCUCCGUGUAUGUAUGGAGAGAACACUAAGCAAAGCCAUGAACAAGGCUUCCCCGAGCAGUACUGGUGGCUCAGCGGCUGUGCUGCUACAAGUUUGAUGACAGUUGUCAGUGACCGUCGUGCCUGAGUGGGCCAGCUGAAGGUGCAGGGAGGACACGCUGAAGGCAUUGACAAGGCAGCACAGAAGUGAAUCUGACCUGACUGUCCACGUGGAGUUUGGCACCUGCACUGACAUUCAACCUCCCCCAACCUCUGUCUCAGUGAAAUCAAGAGACAUCCUGGUUCCUUUCCUCCCCAGCAUGCACCCUGGCAAUGGAG
rnacentral:lncRNA from 1 species